CCUGGCUCCCAAGACAGCCAGAGUCUCUAGUCUCUAUGUGGCACUGUCCCAAUUUCAGGUCAUAAAGCAGAGUCCUACACGGCAGAAAUGGGGAGGAGACUGUGGAUGGACCCUGUGUGGCUCAUAGGCUGGGGACUUCUCCACAACAGUGAUUCCUAGGUCCCUCCCUCCCCUAUCCUAGUACAUCUGCUGCUCCUCAGACCCAAGUGGGCAACUGUCAAGGAGCCCAACAAAAACCCACUUUCCAACCUCAACUCCCUCCCGUCUGCUUCACACAUACAUACCUCCCAGGGCCUCACACACUGUUCCAUGGCGGGACAGAGACAGAGACGCUAACAUGCAAAUACAGACAAGGCUGUGGUCCCUGUCUGCCCCUCCCCCACUGCUUCCCCUUCUCUCCUCCAUCCAGGCCUUGCCCACAAUUAACUCAUUUUUUCAGAAUGCUUCCAAACAUAAGUCAACACUGGACAGAACUGUAGGAAAAGCUUCCUCAAUGCUGGCCGGGAAGAGCUGAGCCCUGUGGCCGGCUGAGCAGCAUGCCAGCCCCAGCCGCCUGCCCCCUCCACCCCAGAGCUGGGUUUGGAGCUGGGAUUGUGGGGAUGCCAAAUGCCUGGCGUCCCGGCCCAGGCACUAGAACAGGGACUGCUGACACCCCCAAGGACUGUUUCAGGGAUUCGUACAGACAUCCACUUCUCUGCCUCUUGCUCUGCUCCACUCUGCUUCUCCCCAGCUGUACCUUCAUUUAGGCCCAGCCUCCUUUCUACCUGAGGCUGAGGUAGGGUUCUGGCGGAAAGAGCACUGGCAGGACUAGGAGCAGCCUUAUUCCCAGGGGCCCUCAGGCUCUGCUGCCCGUGGAAUAGGAGGCUUCUCAGUUACCCGCAGCAGAAACCCAUGGAAUUGGCUAGUUCUGUGGACACCAGAGCCUCCACUGCCCCAGGCAGCCCUGGCACCUACCCCAUCUCCUGGGGACCCAAGAGGCUCCUGCUCCUCCUCUUUCCGUGCCAUAAAGCUCAUGCCCUCUGCUGGCCCACAGGGGCCAUGAAGGGUGUACUGGUCCCCAUCUUGAUUCUUUGGGUGGGGUGCUGCUCUGGAGAGGCCCUGGCCAAGCAGGGGCUGAGCACAAGAGAGUUCAUAGCCCCACCAGCACCAGCAGCUUUACCCAUCGUACAGCCACCACCCAGCAGCUCUAGAUCCUCCAACGGGAUCUCCUGUCAAUCUGGGCCAGGAGCCCUGCACCAACAGAAGGACUGGGAUAGACACCAGAACAAUGGCAGCAGCACCUCAGAGGCCACAGGCUGUGUGCAGAAAAAGCUAGGAAGCAGGCAAGGGCAAGGGCCUAGGCUGACAGAAAUGGGCACUACAGAGCAGUUUACGCCCUCCUCGCCGGCUUUGUGUCCACUGGCCCAGACAGCUAUUGCCUACCACAAGGUCAAAAUGAAACAUGCCCCCACCCUGGUGGAUCCUGGUCUGACAACCCUUUACCUAGAAGAUGGCUGGCCUCACUGUGGGUCCUGGUUGGCAGUGGAGCAAUGUCUUGCCCUGGGAGGUGAAGAGCAGCAAAGGGCAGGGGACGGGGCACUGGAUAUGGCUGCCCCAUGUGUGUACAGACAACAAAAUUGCCAAGAUUCUGGCCCACACGUUCCUGGGACUGCCCAACCUGGAGUGGCUGGAUCUGAGCAAGAACAAACUAGAGAGCCAAGGCCCGCACCCACAUGCCUUCGAGUCAUGCUGCAGUCCUUCUACCAACUAUCCAGGACCUGGAUGGGGUCUUACAUGUCUCAGAUGGCCCAAGAGAUUUGGAGGGACCAGGCCUUGGAGUCAAGGAGUCAGGGAUCCACCACAGACUAACAGGGGGCUUAUGGUGGCCCAACAGAAAGUGGCAAGGAAGCUGGAGACCCUUGACCCACGACCUGCUGGUACAUGUGCCUUCCUUCCUACCACAGAGCCUGAGGUGCCUGAUACUGUGUCACAACCUCAUUGAGUGCAUCCCAAACUACAUACUUGCACAUGUGAAGCCUGGUCUGGAGUUCCUACACCCGUCCCACAACAGGCUACAUGCUGAGGGCAUCCACAGAGUGUCCUUCUUGGGCCUGCACACCUCCCUGGCAGAGUUGCUGCUGGAUCACAAUCACUUGUAGGCCAUCCCACAUGGCCUCCUGGGGCUCAAGGGUCUGCAGGUGCUGCGUCUGAGCCACAAUAAGAUCAGGAUUCCAACCUUAUUGCCAUACAGCUGGACAACAACCUCAUUGACCUGCGCCGCAUCCCACCUACGGCCUUCUGAAUUCGAGCCCACCACAGUGUGGUCCUUCAGCCUCAGCAGAAAGAGGAAGGCUCCUAGUCCUACCCUACCUACUUUCCCUUCCCCAGUACUUAUUGGUUGGGGUACACCCAAGCCAAGCUCCACUUAAUCUUUGCACCACUGGGGAAAAGUUUUAAAUGCCCCUACUUCUUGGGAUAUACCUACUUCCCAUGAUUGAUGGAGGCCAUUUUACUCAGCAAAUGACCCAGUGGAAGCAAGGGGUGGGGCAGCACUGGCUUGUAAUUGACUGUAAUAAA